UGGGCCAUUAGCGCAGCGGUAGCGCGCUUCCUUCACACGGAAGAGGUCACUGGUUCGAUCCCAGUAUGGCCCACCCA
rnacentral:tRNA from 2 species